UACGGGGGGGGCAAGCGUUGUUCGGAAUUACUGGGCGUAAAGGGCUCGUAGGCGGCCAACUCAGUCGGACGUGAAAUCCCUCGGCUUAACCGGGGAACGGCGUCCGAUACUGGAUGGCUUGAAUCCGAGAGAGGGAUGCGGAAUUCCAGGUGUAGCGGUGAAAUGCGUAGAUAUCAGGAGGAAUACCGAUGGCGAAGGCAGGUCUCUGGGUCGAUACUGACGCUCAUGCACGAAAGCGUGGGGAGCAAACAGG
rnacentral:rRNA from 1 species